rnacentral:lncRNA from 1 species
UAAUCCAGUCUAUCAUUGUUGGACAUUUGGGUUGGUUCCAAGUCUUUGCUAUUGUGAAUAAUGCCGCAAUAAACAUACAUGUGCAUGUGCCUUUAUAGCAGCAUGAUUUAUAGUCCUUUGGGUAUAUACCCAGUAAUGGGAUGGCUGGGUCAAAUGGUAUUUCUAGUUCUAGAUCCCUGAGGAAUCGCCACACUGACUUCCACAAUGGUUGAACUAGUUUACAGUCCCACCAACAGUGUAAAAGUGUUCCUAUUUCUCCACAUCCUCUCCAGCACCUGUUGUUUCCUGACUUUUUAAUGAUUGCCAUUCUAACUGGUGUGAGAUGAUAUCUCAUAGUGGUUUUGAUUUGCAUUUCUCUGAUGGCCAGUGCUGGAUAUUAGCCCUUUGUCAGAUGAGUAGGUUGUGAAAAUUUUCUCCCAUGUUGUAGGUUGCCUGUUCACUCUGAUGGUAGUUUCUUUUGCUGUGCAGAAGCUCUUUAGUUUAAUUAGAUCCCAUUUGUCAAUUUUGUCUUUUGUUGCCAUUGCUUUUGGUGUUUUGGACAUGAAGUCCUUGCCCACGCCUAUGUCCUGAAUGGUAAUGCCUAGGUUUUCUUCUAGGGUUUUUAUGGUUUUAGGUCUAACGUUUAAACCUUUAAUCCAUCUUGAAUUGAUUUUUGUGUAAGGUGUAAGGAAGGGAUCCAGUUUCAGCUUUCUACAUAUGGCUAGCCAGUUUUCCCAGCACCAUUUAUUAAAUAGGGAAUCCUUUCCCCAUUGCUUGUUUUUCUCAGGUUUGUCAAAGAUCAGAUAGUUGUAGAUAUGCAGCAUUAUUUCUGAGGGCUCUGUUCUGUUCCAUUGAUCUAUAUCUCUGUUUUGGUACCAGUACCAUGCUGUUUUUGUUACUGUAGCCUUGUAGUAUAGUUUGAAGUCAGGUAGUGUGAUGCCUCCAGCUUUGUUCUUUUGGCUUAGGAUUGACUUGGCGAUGCAGGCUCUUUUUUGGUUCCAUAUGAACUUUAAA